AGUCAACAUGCCCAGGGGACGUGGAUAACCUCGGGAAACUGAGGAUAAACCGCGAUAGGCCAUGAUUUCUGGAAUGGUUCAUGGCCGAAAUCUAUAUGGCCCCUGGAUUGGACUGCGGCCGAUCAGGCUGUUGGUGAGGUAAUGGCCCACCAAACCUGUAACCGGUACGGGCUCUGAGAGGAGGAGCCCGGAGAUGGGCACUGAGACAAGGGCCCAGGCCCUAUGGGGCGCAGCAGGCGCGAAAUCUCUGCAAUAGGCGAAAGCUUGACAGGGUUACUCUGAGUGGUUCCCGUUAAGGGGAUCUUUUGGCACCUUUAAAAAUGGUGCAGAAUAAGGGGUGGGCAAGUCUGGUGUCAGCCGCCGCGGUAAUACCAGCACCCCGAGUGGUCGGGACGAUUAUUGGGCCUAAAGCAUCCGUAGCCGGUACUGCAAGUCUUCCGUUAAAUCCACCUGCUUAACAGUUGGGCUGCGGGGGAUACUACGGCGCUAGGAGGCGGGAGAGGCAAGCGGUACUCAAUGGGUAGGGGUAAAAUCCGCUGAUCCAUUGAAGACCACCAGUGGCGGAGGCGGCUUGCCAGAACGCGCUCGACGGUGAGGGAUGAAAGCUGGGGGAGCAAACCGGAUUAGAUACCCGGGUAGUCCCAGCUGUAAACGAUGCAGACUCGGUGAUGGGCUGGCCUUGUGCCAGCCCAGUGCCGCAGGGAAGCCGUUAAGUCUGCCGCCUGGGGAGUACGGUCGCAAGACUGAAACUUAA
rnacentral:rRNA from 1 species